AGGGUUUGAUCAUGGCUCAGAACGAACGCUGGCGGCAGGCCUAACACAUGCAAGUCGAGCGAAGCCUUCGGGCUUAGCGGCGGACGGGUGAGUAACGCGUGGGAACGUGCCCUUCACUACGGAAUAGUCCCGGGAAACUGGGUUUAAUACCGUAUACGCCCUUCGGGGGAAAGAAUUUCGGUGAAGGAUCGGCCCGCGUUAGAUUAGGUAGUUGGUGGGGUAAUGGCCUACCAAGCCUACGAUCUAUAGCUGGUUUGAGAGGAUGAUCAGCCACACUGGGACUGAGACACGGCCCAGACUCCUACGGGAGGCAGCAGUGGGGAAUCUUAGACAAUGGGGGCAACCCUGAUCUAGCCAUGCCGCGUGAGUGAUGAAGGCCUUAGGGUCGUAAAGCUCUUUCGCUGGGGAAGAUAAUGACGGUACCCAGUAAAGAAACCCCGGCUAACUCCGUGCCAGCAGCCGCGGUAAUACGGAGGGGGUUAGCGUUGUUCGGAAUUACUGGGCGUAAAGCGCGCGUAGGCGGACUGGAAAGUUGGGGGUGAAAUCCCGGGGCUCAACCUCGGAACUGCCUCCAAAACUAUCAGUCUAGAGUUCGAGAGAGGUGAGUGGAACUCCGAGUGUAGAGGUGAAAUUCGUAGAUAUUCGGAAGAACACCAGUGGCGAA
rnacentral:rRNA from 1 species